rnacentral:lncRNA from 1 species
AACCCUCACACAGCGAGAUCCCCCCACUCUGCUAAAGAAUGUCUGCCCCAGAGCUGAUUGCCUCAGUGAUCACAUUAUGAACUGUCACACUGCUGAGAAAAAAAUAUAAUAGUACUAAGAGAACAAUAUGACCAUGAAAUGAUCACUGAACCCAACUUCAGGAACAAAGCAUGUGGAAAGUAAAAAUUUGAUCAGAUUUCGACGGACAAAUAAAACUGAAGACUAAGUAUGCAAGGACAAAAUUAGACAAGCCAUGGGAAAGAAAUACGGACAACUCUCCAGGAUUCUGUGAAGUAUUAUAACACUAACAGUGUAUGAUGCUGAAAGUUCAGUAGCAAGGAUUUUUUGAAGAACCUGUCAUGUUCUACCUGUAGAAUAGUAAAACCAAACAUGCAAUUUAGAGAAACGAACAAGCUGUAUCGACUGGUGUGCAUUUCCUACUGUCUUUCAAACCCUGAGAAAAUUUGAAAAAUAUCCUGGAGAGAUGUUAGAGAUUAUCUUAAUAAGAAAAUAAAUCUGUCUUUCUAAAUAAAAGACUUAUAUGU